GGUAUUUUGUCUUAGUAACUAGAGAAAAGAAACUAAUACACAUAGGGAUUCUCAAGUAGGAUGUGAUAGGCAAUCCCUGUACUCCAAGCACUAAGGAGGCCAGCCUGGACUCGGUAGUGAGAACUGUCUGAAGCGAGAGAAGAGAAGAGAAGAAGAAAGGAAGGAAAAGGUGGCCUAGAUUGCCAAUCUACUCUACGAUGGAGUAACUUGUGAUCUUGGACCUGGAUCCGGCAUCACUGAGGGUCAUGUCUGAAGCCAGAGAAUGUCUCUAAGACAUGGGGUGGGGAAUGAGAUGUUAUGUAAUGGGUCUAGGCCACUCUACAAAGGGAGGCCUUUCUGUUGGGAAGGCAAGGUGCCACUAAAGUGGACAGUUGUUCCUAAGCCACCCUGCCCUUCCUUUGCAUGAAUCUAUAACAACCCAAGCAGCUUCAAAGUGUAUCCUGAGGAAUGGAGCUUUUUCCUCAGUGCCCUGAGUCCCUGAGCCAAUCAGUGGCAAAAAGGAGCAAGAGUCCCCACGCCCGAGGGUGUGGGCUGAAGCCUGAGGGAUAUAAGGCACAGUCAGCAGCACACUCAGGUGCCCUUCUUCCUUGGCCUGCUGAGGAAGUUGAAACUAUGGCUCUGUGUGGGUCAGCCUGGGAAGAGCUGAGCCCGGGAUAGGUGCAUCCAGAGCCCUACAUGCCACCAGGCCUGAGCCCAGAACAGGGGUGGCCUGGAUGCUCGUUAAUUUCUAGGCACUGUGCUACCAUUCCUGCCAGAGAUGUGGAGAGGUCCACUCCCACGAAUGCCAGUCGCUGCCCUGGGUUUCCAGUGACGAGAUAGUCAGUCCUGCAAUACUCAGGAGACAAAAAUGCCAUCAACACCCACAUGUGCAGGACCAGAUUGCUGAAACAAUGAAAGAGCUGCAGUCAGCUCAAGGCGAUGGACAAGCUAAGGUCAGCACGGCCCAAGCGACCCUGACACAGCCAGGAGAUGUGGGUGUGGGUGGAGGAGGUGGACAGAUCCAGGCCCAGAACAUGUGCUGCAGGCCAGCUCAGCCCAGGAAGCUGCUCAAGACCCAGGUGCACCGAAGCCAGAAAGCCCAGGAGGAAAGGAAGCCCAGCUUUUGGGAAGCCUCACUGCACGAUGCCCUUCCACUGAGGCCCUGGGAGGAGCCCUGCAAGCUGCAGUGGGGACCUUCCCGCUGUCCUGUGGACUCCUGAGCUCCACCUGUGCGCUGCACCCCUACUGCCCUUGAGGUCUCUGCUCCACGGAGCCCCCCUCACUGUGCCCUUCCUCUCCUGAACUACCUUUGCCACCUUUGUGCAGGAGAAAGGAAGGACUCCCCACAUGGAGUUGUCACCAGGGUUGUCUCUUUGGAAUUGUAUGUGAUAAAUAAAGUCUUUCCCUCAUUCACGGCCUGUGCACUUGUGUUUGAGUGGGUGAAGUCAGGGUGGGGAGAGUGGGGGAGGGUCUGGAGCCCCAAAGGCCUGGAACCCAGGUCUGAGGUGUGAGGCUG
rnacentral:lncRNA from 1 species